rnacentral:lncRNA from 1 species
GGGCCCGGCGGCCGCCCCGGCCCGGGGCGCGGGCACCCGCCUCCCCGCGGCUCAAGCCCCCGCUGCAGCCGCCGCAGCUGCAGCGGCCCGGCUCUCCGCUCUGCCCUUCCUUCCCAACACUCACUCUCCAAGUGACGUGGCAGGCCCCGCCCGCUGCCCCCCCCCACCCCACUCGCGCAUCACACCCCUCGCCCGGCCAGGGGCGCCCGCCCCGCCACGCGUCUUUCCCGCGCUCGCCCGGCACGCCCCGCCCUUGCCCGCGGUCACCCUCGCGGCCCCCCAACACGCGCCAGCGCCCUAACACCACACCCCGUCCACCCCUGCCAAAGGCUUUCCCUGUUUCAGUUUAAGGUGGUUGCUCUACGCAGUGCGUUUCAUCGAUGAGAAAACACCUCCCGCCCCACCAUGCAGCACAUAACUCGGAGCAGCGUACCUCCCUCCGCGCAUCCAGAAACCUAAAGAGCAAAUCGAAUCGUAUUUUGUCCCUCUGUAUUUACGAAGACUCAUUUGCCAGCUUCUCUAAUCCACUUUAAAGAAAAAAUAGAGAAAGCGUUUGUAGAAGUCUUCCGAGCUUCCAGUCAGCAUCCCAAGUGCUUGGUGGUUCAAGAAGCCUGGAAACAGCCCCUGGAAGGAGGACCUCAUUUCCUCCCAGACACAAUUUACAGAAGCCAGCCAGGCUCUGAAAACAGUGGGCGAAGGUGCCUGACGGGGUUGAGAGCAAGGAUUCCACCACUGUUCUCUUGGAGAUCUGGACCACCAGGACUCCUAGAGAUGAGGGGCCAAGCGAGGAUGUAAGAGGAGAGAGCACUGGAGAACCCUCACACACCAUUCGUGCCUCCUGAGCAGGUGGAAGCCGCUCCCUACCUCCGACCCACUGCCCCUCUCUGCACCUUCUUUCCUGAAAUGGUUGUGUUAUUUCCACCUGGGCCUGGGGCCAGGACGACAGUGAGGGGACCAGAGUCCAGAGAAAGAGAGGACCACCACGUGGAAGGUAGAGUGGGAGGGAGUGCAAGAGAGAGGAGGGAGAGAGGUGAUCAUGUUCUGGAGAGAACUCCGUUUCCUCUCCAUUCAUGCUUCCCAUUCAGAUGACCAAGGGACACGUGACUGCAGCAUUAACAAUGAUCUUACUUUUUCAUGGUGUUUUGCCCUCUUCAAAGGACAGUCACAUCAAGAGCCUUAAACACUAAAGUUGAAGUCAAGGAAUCUGACUUCUGGGACCAUGUAUGUGCUCACUGUUCAGGCUGUGUCGUGGUGCUUCCUGAGGCCUCAGUUUCCCCUCUUCCAUGCAAGGACUCUGGAUUCUAGGGUAAAUUACAAUCCUAAUUCUAUAACCUUCAGAUUCUGGAAACGUGCUCCUAAUCCUAGGUCUAUACUGUUUCAGAGGGUCUCUGCCCACUAACUGGUAGAAAGAACUACAUUCUCCCCAAGAGCAACAAUGGCAGCAAUACCCAGAUGGGUACUCUUUCAAUUCUGGUCCUCCACUGUCACCUCAGAUAUCGCCCACCAGGCCCUCCCACUGGGUGAGGAGCGGGCUUUAUGCACCCCUCCCAGCAGGCCUAGGACCAUUUUCGGGGGUGAUGCAGAGCAGGACUUAUGUUACCAGCUGCAGUAUCUACAGCCACAGAGGCAGAGAGAGAGAUGCAGACACUCAUCCCUCCAGGUGCCAUUUUCCCUCAGAUUCACAAGUGUUCCUGUACCAUUCUAUAUUGGGAAGUGCUCAUCUAAGAGAAAGAUGAAUGGCAGAAGCUGAAGGAUUUUAUACUAACAGCCAAAAUGCAGGGAGGUGAAAAUUACAGUAAAGGACAUUUCCAACUGAUUUGUCAUCUAAAAAUCCCAAAGUACUCUGUGUCCCCCAUUUAGUCCCAGAACCUAUUAAUCUGAAAAGCCCAAAUUAAUUAGUGCAGGCAUUUUCUAUUAUCCCAGGCAAUAGCAUGGUUAAGAAUCUGUGAGCCCUGAACUUCUCAAGCUGUAUUAACUGCAAAAUAAAUAGAAUUCUCCACUCAUUUCAGGGUGAAUUGAACAGUAUUUGUAUAUGGGGAGAAAACUAAAAGAAAGCUCCUUGUG